UGGGGAUUGUUGGGGCAGUCCACUCACCAUCUUCUUCAUCAUCCCAGUCCUCAGGCUAAGAGAAAGGACA
rnacentral:sRNA from 1 species